ACACACACACACACACACACACACAAACCAUCUCUCCCUCUCCCACUCACUCUCCGUCCCCCUCUCUCCCCUGUUCUCCUGGAAGAGGGAUUCUUUAUCAAACUGCAUCAGACUAUUCUCCACUGGAGGGCGAAUUCUACAAGAGGAACAGGGCGAAUUGGAAGGAAUACAGUCGGAGCGAAGGGGUAGAGGCAACAGCAGCUGGAAGCAAGAGAGACAGAGAAAAUCCCGGCCCGAUCCCUGCAAGCAUCAUUCUCGCCACCGGAUUAAAUCCGUCCCCUCCUCGCACGCCAAACCACGCCAAGACAUGAGCUUCUCCUGCCGGUGUUACUUCAUGUUGAACUGAGCCGUCCUGAGUCUCCAGUGCGUCUCUUCCCUUGGUUUAAUCUCCCUCUGUGUGUCACCCGGUAAGAACACUACACACUCCCUAACGCACACAAUAUGUUGAUCCAGUCACCUACUCCCCCCGCCCACACACAAAACCCAACCUGCUUCUUAGUCACCCAUACCUGCAGUCAAUAUCCAUCUAUGGUUUGGCAUUAAAGCAUCAGUCAAAUCCAGUCAGUAAUUCAUAAUAAUGUUAUAUGUCAAUUAUAAGCCUUCGGUGACUGAUUAACUAAUCAUUCACAAAUCAUUGAUAUCCAAUUAUAAGACAUAA